rnacentral:rRNA from 1 species
GCGGUUAUACUUGGGCCAAAAGUUAAACAAUAAACGCAAAUUAUUCCUAUAUGACGUUGUCCUUUAACUAAGUAGAAUAGAAAAUUUUAUAGGCCCUUUACGUAAAUCGGAGUUGUGCCCGAGUAACAGGGUAAAAAUUCAGUUGGGUACAAACUCAAAUUUUGUGGCUGUUUUCAUGAACAAGAAUAGAGAAAUUUGAGUUUUGGCUAAUCCCCCUUAUUGUUUUCCUUUUAAUAGUCUGAGUGUGGUUGUCUAAAAAUUCCCAAAUCUUAAAAUUUAUGGUCAGAUAACAUUCAACUUAAAAGGAAUACUCGAAUUGCAAAAAAUAGAUUUCAUGAGUGUUUAGAAAUUUUAGGAUUUAUAAGUAAACGUAAAAAGUUGAAUAUAACGCAUAAAAGC